rnacentral:rRNA from 1 species
CCUACGGGAUGCAGCAGUGGGGAAUUUUGGACAAUGGGCGCAAGCCUGAUCCAGCCAUUCCGCGUGCAGGAUGAAGGCCUUCGGGUUGUAAACUGCUUUUGUACGGAACGAAAAGGUCCUGGUUAAUACCUGGGGCUCAUGACGGUACCGUAAGAAUAAGCACCGGCUAACUACGUGCCAGCAGCCGCGGUAAUACGUAGGGUGCAAGCGUUAAUCGGAAUUACUGGGCGUAAAGCGUGCGCAGGCGGUCUUGUAAGACAGAGGUGAAAUCCCCGGGCUCAACCUGGGAACUGCCUUUGUGACUGCAAGGCUGGAGUACGGCAGAGGGGGAUGGAAUUCCGCGUGUAGCAGUGAAAUGCGUAGAUAUGCGGAGGAACACCGAUGGCGAAGGCAAUCCCCUGGGCCUGUACUGACGCUCAUGCACGAAAGCGUGGGGAGCAAACAGGAUUAGAUACCCUAGUAGUC